UACGGGGGGGGCAAGCGUUGUUCGGAAUUACUGGGCGUAAAGGGCUCGUAGGUGGCCAACUAAGUCAGACGUGAAAUCCCCAGGCUCAACCUGGGAACUGCGUCCGAUACUGGAUGGCUUGAAUUCGGGAGAGGGAUGCAGAAUUCCAGGUGUAGCGGUGAAAUGCGUAGAUAUCUGGAGGAAUACCGGUGGCGAAGGCGGCAUCCUGGACCGACAUUGACGCUGAGGAGCGAAAGCUAGGGGAGCAAACGGG
rnacentral:rRNA from 1 species